UUCAUUUUCAAACAUUUGGCGCAGUUUGUAUGUGCUGUAGCAGUGUAGCAGCAAGUGUUGUGCAUAAAGUAAUAACAGUUAUAUCAAAUGGAUACAGGAGCUCAGUCAUCUCAGAAGAGGAUAAAAAAGAAGAUAAAGCAUCCGAAUCCUUUGUUUGAAAAGUGGUUGAAAGAAUGGCAAGAUGAAGCUCGCGAGCGAGGUUCAGACAUACAGUACUGCUAUGCCAAAGCACUCAGGUCACUUAAAAAAUAUCCACUGCCUUUAAGGAGUGGAAAGGAGUGCCGUAUUCUGCAGAAUUUUGGUACAAAAAUUUGUGAUAUGCUUGAUCGCAAAUUAGAAGAAGUUGGGCACAUGCGUCCAGAAGAAUCUCCUGAUUUUCUCACUCAGGAUGUGAGUAUUGGUCCAUGCGCAUCAAAGCCCAAAAGUCAAGUAAGAAGAAAGUCAAAGUCAGCUGGGCAAACUGAACAGAAGACAAAACUUCUUAAAUCAGCUAAAAAUAGAACUACUUCCAGGAGUGGUAAAUCACCAGAAAAUGGACUUAACCGUCCAGUUCAUGAGCUCUCACCUGAUGACUCGGAAGAUAAUGUAACAGACAACCAGCUUCCAAACUGUGAACAAAUAUCUUCAGGUUCUUUUGAAAACAUUGAAACAAAUAUGGUACAAAUAACAAGCACGUCUGCAUGUACCCAUCUAUCAGAUGUAAGGAGUUUGAUACAUAGAGAAGUAGUGAAUUAUGACGUGGAAAUUAAAAGAUGUGCAUCAGCUGUGAUUCCCACUUCAUCAUUCACCACAAUAACGCAGAAGGAGGAACAGGUAACGCAACUAGCAAGGGGAUAUAAUAAAACAAUGCAGGAAGAAUGGAGGCAACUUGAUGAGCCAGUACUGCCUGCUUUAUCUACAUUCAAACUGCCUGGUGGAUCUUUUCGUAUUGUACUGCUUGUCGAUGUAUCUGAAACUACUGGAAAUCAUCUUAAACAAUAUCAAGGUGCAUUAAUUGCUGAAUUGAAACGUUUGCAAGUCAACGUUGAAGUUCGCCAUCUUAAUGUUGGAGACUUUGCAUGGAUAUGUCAAGAUAAUUCAAAGAAUGAAGCAGUUCUACCAUAUAUUGUAGAAAGGAAACGGACAGAUGAUUUUGCAAAAAGUAUAAAGGAUGGGCGCUUUCAUGAACAAAAGUUUAGACUUAAAAGAUGUGGUGUUCAGAAUCGCAUCUAUCUAGUAGAAAGCCAUGGAAACAAUCAGCAUGUUGGACUGCCACUUAGUACUAUUGAGCAGGCUGCUGCCAACACACAUGUUGUAGACGAAUUCAUCAUCACAAGAACACCAGGGCCACUGGGAACUAUUAAAUACCUUAGCUGCGUCACCAAUUUUAUUACAAGGACAUUCAAGGACAAAAUGAUUGUCAGUUGUCCCAAGGAACAUCUACCUCCACUCUUCCUCGCAUCGGACACUGUAUCACUUAUGGCAUUCAGUGACUUCAAUGGUGCUGCAAGGAAGAAAAUGCCAGUGAAAAUGGAGCAUCUUAUGCAGCCAGUUUGCAAUUUACGCAUUACACCACUUCAAAGAUAUUAGCUUUGAGAUGUGCAUUGAAUGAUAGCUAUCAUUAUCCAUUGCAGUAAUACAGCCUUCUUCUAGCGAGUGCAUCAGCAAUACACAGUGAAGGAGAUGUUCAUCAAACAGCUUGUGCAGUUAUAUGGAAUGUCUGUGAGCAAGGCACUUGCAGUAGUGCAGAUUUAUCCAUCUCCAUCAGAAUUAAUGAAGGCAUAUGCACAAGGAGGAG
rnacentral:misc_RNA from 1 species